rnacentral:rRNA from 1 species
UGCCCNCUGAUUUUAUUAAAGGGCUGCAGUAAUUUGACUGUACAAAGGUAGCAUAAUCAUUAGUCAUUUAAUUGAUGACUUGUAUGAAAGAUUGGAUGAAAUAAUAACUGUCUUUAUUAUAAUUUACAUAAAUUAAUUUUUUAAUUAAAAAGUUAAAAUAUAUUAAAAAGACGAGAAGACCCUAUAGAGUUUUAUUAUAUGUAAAAUUAAGAUUGUUUAUAAAUAAAUUUUAAUUUAAAUUUUAUAAAUAAUUUUGUUGGGGUGAUAAGAAAAUUAAAUUAACUUUUUUUUUUAAUUAACAUUAAUAAUUGAUUUUUUGAUCCAAUUUUAUUGAUUAAAAGAGAAAAUUACCUUAGGGAUAACAGCGUAAUUUUUUUUUUUAGUUCAAAUAAAAAAAAGAGUUUGCGACCUCGAUGUUGGAUUAAGAUAAAAUUUAAANGUAGAAGUUUAAAAUUUUUA